rnacentral:lncRNA from 1 species
CCGCCACAUCCUUCCUCUCCACUUCCACCACUACCUCUUCCACUGUCUCCUUCAUGCUCUCCACCUCCACUGCUACUUCUCCCACCACCACCUCUACCCUAUACAUUACCACUAACUCCACGAUACCAGCCACCACCACUACCACCUUUGUCACUAUUAUUGCCACCUUUGUGACCAUAAUCACCACCUCAAUUGUUUUCGUUUCCACCACCGUCAAAUAUCCACCUCUGCUAUCACCACCUCAACCUACAUACCCAUCAAUCCACAACUACCUCUAUAAUCGGCGAUGACGACACCAGUUCAACUAGUCAAUCUAGUCCCAAAAAACUAGAUGAUAUAUAUAUAUAUAUAUAAACUAUUUAAUAUUUAACAUUAUUAUGAAAAUAUAGAUAAAAUCGAUUUUAUAUUUUAGCAAAUUUUUGUUUCCCUCCUCCAAACCCGCCAUUUCAAUCCCUAAAAUUUCAAAAGAAAAAACCCUAACUAUGAAAACCCUCCUUUAAUCGUCAAUUUCAUUGCCUCACAAACCUUAUUGUGUCGUCGUUUAUCCCUUUUCUCUCAUUCGUCUGCCCAGAUGCUCCAUCUCCGCCCUGUUGUGCUUGCUUCGCCGACAUAAAGGUACAAUAGUUUUAGGACGUCACGUUGUUUCACACUUCCUUUUAUAAUUGUAUUAACUUUAAAAUUUAUAACCACAAAAUAAUUAACAGUUAACAUAUCGAUUCCAUUUUCCACCAUCUCAUUAUAAGCAUCAAUUUCAUCAUCUAAAUUGGUAGGGCAUUAGAGAUCCUCUGUAAGGUGUUAAAAAUUCACAUAUCGUCGACCUUUUGUUUUAAUUAUGACAUUCUUUGAAUGUUUCUAUCAUGAUUUGGUGAAUUCUGACCUGUAUAAUGUUGAUUCAGGUAUGAGAUAUUUAUUUUAAUAGCUUCGUUGAUGAAUAUUGUAUGAGAAUAUGAGAUAUUUAUUUCAAUAGAAAUCAGGUAUGAGUUUGUUUCCAUAGAUUUUGUGUUUUAAACUUUCUAGAGAUUCCACUGUACAUAUGAGUUUUUUGUGUGGUUGUGUAGACUAUUCAUGUGGUCUUCUCAAUGCAUAUUUUCAUGUCUACCAAUCUGUACACAUAAAUGCAUUCAGGGACUUAUGACAUUCAAUAAUGGGUUAAGGUUCAAACAUGCCCUUUAACUUGUAUUUACUUUGUUUCCUUCUCAUUUUAAUUUUUAUGGUAUACAUUGUUCCUUCUUAUUUUUAAGUUUUUGGUAGAUGAUUACGUUUUUUAUUUGUUGGGACUUGGUCUGAGACCAACUAUUUUACCUGGUCAAAUGGAAUGUGACGGGUAUGCCCUAGAAUUUCUCAAAGCAAUAUUUUUACUGUUGAUGUUGAUCCACAAUGUAAAGUCACAAAAUAUUGUUACGUUAUUUGAACUUUUAAACUCAUUUACAACAUAAAAGUUACAGAUAUAAGUAACCUUGUUUGCUCAUCUUUUCAGGUGUGUGAUUUGGCUCAUUCCUUACACUUGAAAAAUAUGGUUUGUAAUUUCUUGAAUGGCCUUGGUUGGAGACCAUUAUUUGCCAUUAUAGGUUUAUAUAAAAGAACUUUUGUAAAAGUAUAAUUGAUGUAUGUGUAUGUAGGGUGCCAACAGAUUUGUUUCAAACAAGAUAAAAAAGGAAAGGUAUUCGCUUCCUCCUAUAGUAUCUCUCAGUUUCUUUAUUAUUUGUUCUUUUCUAUUAUUAUUUUUUUAAAUAUCUUGUUUUAAGCAAAGUUUUCCAUUGUAUAAUACUAUUUUUUAUGGCAGUUAAAGGAUGUCAGGAAGAGGCAUUAUGGGAAAAUCAACAAAUAAAGAGCAUCUUGUUCAAAUUUUAUCUUAUAAGCUUAGUUCACAGAAACUCUCUUAGUCAAGUUGACCAACAUGUUGAAGUAGGAAAGAACACCUAUUUCACAAACAUUUAAAUAUAAUACUUUUACUUCACCUCUCAUGUUAUGUGUAGGAUGUUGACAUACAUGUUCAUUGAGAAGUAACAAACUGAUAUUGCCAUGAAGAAAGAGAAAACAAUGAAGUGAUGGUUUUCAUUUGGAUGGUAAUACAUUCUCUUUCUUUUCUUUUCAAUUACAGAUAACCUGGCAAGCUGCCUUCUAUAUAUCUAAGUGAUUGUAUUGUGUGAUUUUAGGGGCAAUGGAUUAGUGGAUUUGUUGAAGAUGAAAAUCAAUUGUUGAAGUUCAUCGAUGAGGACCGGAAACAAUUAUUUAGUUUGAUAGUUUUAUAUUGUAAGUGUUACUAGAAUAAUAUUUAGGCUUAUUAGACUUUAAAGACAUUUACGUUUCAAAUAUUGACAAUAUUGUUGUUAGAAAACCAUUUUAAGGAAUAACCACAUGGUUCAUACCGGUUUGUGUCGGUUCUUAUUGGUUUGUUUUUAGGCAUUUUUAGAUCAUGCAUAUCUUGAUGGUUGAGCGGUUCUUGGUUCAAAUAGUUGAACCAAACAGUUUGGUAUGUUUUCAAAACCAUAGUAAUUGAUAAUGGACUGAAUGUCAUUGUAUUUGAGGUCGAUAUCCAAUCACUGAAAAAGCAGGCUAGGGAUCAAACAAUGUUGUAUUUGACACUGGUAUUUAGUCACUUAAAACCAGGUUAGGUACUACAUGAUAUUCUAUCUGAAACUAAUAUUCAUUGAAAAAACAUAUUAAAGACUAAAUGAGAUAGUAUCAAAGAUUGAUAUUUAGUCUCUGAGUGAUAUCAUGGGGUCUAGAAGGAAAGACAUUGGGGACUGAACAUGAUAGUAUCAACAACUAAUAUUUAGUCUUUGAAAGAUACUAUCAGGGACCGAUAUAACGUAAAAUAGAUAUUUCAAUGAAACAUACUGGAGACUGAAUGUUAUACUAUAAAUGACUAAUAUUUAGUCCUUAAAAGAUAGCAUCAGGGACUAAUGUGAUAUCAAAUCGGGGAUUUGAAGAAAACAAAUUAGAGACUGAAUGAGAUAUUAUCAAAGACUGAUUUCCUGUCUUUGAUAAUUUGAUGUAUUUAGGACUGAUUUUCAGUCCCAAAUAUAUAAAAAAAAUCAAUUGUCUAAGACUAGGUCUCGGGGACUAGCUAGGACUACCUAAAUCAGUCCUUGAUUCUCAUCAGAGACUGAUUAUUGACCAUCAAAUAUUGAUUAUGUCAGUCUCUGAUACCCCUUUUUCUUGUAGUGAGCCUCGGUGAUUCCGGUGGUGGAGGAGCAUUAACAGCCCAUCAAACUAUCCUAAAAGCAUUCGUCGGAGCAACCCAUAUAUGUAUGGAUUCGUUAAAUAUGGAUUGAUGUCGAUUUCUGGAUUUAAUGUAUUUUUUGUCCUCGUUCUUGUUGUUGUUCCUACAUAUUGAUCAUCUUUUUCUUUUUCUAGAUCAAAAGAAAUUUGUUUUAAAUACAUCAUCACUAUUUUUAUAUGUAUAAUUUUGGUUUGAGAUGAAGAUAUGAAAUGGAUUUCAUCCAAUUGGCCCUACAUAUACAGAAAUUGAUUUAGGUUUAGGGUUCACAUCAGAAAUCGAUUCAUAUUAAGAUUAGGUUUUGGAAAUUAAAUUUCAAAGGAUGUUUGUUAAGAAGGAAAUAUGGAGAUACAGGUGUGAGUUCGCUGGAGAAGAAGAUGGAGGAUGAAUGAAGAACUAAGAAGCAUGUCCCCUCCCACUUUGCUUUUCCGAGAGAGAGAGAGAGAGAGAGAGAGAGAGAGAGAGAGAUACAGUCUCUGAUACCCCUUUUUCUUGUAGUGAGCUUCGGUGAUUCCGGUGGUGGAGGAGCAUUAACCGCCCAUCAAACUAUCCUAAAAGCAUUCGUUGGAGCAACCCAUAUAUGUAUGGAUUCGUUGAAUAUGGAUUGAUGUCGAUUUCUGGAUUUAAUGUAUUUUUUGUCCUCGUUCUUGUUGUUGUUCCUACAUAUUUAUCAUCUUUUUCUUUUUCUAGAUCAAAAGAAAUUUGUUUUAAAUACAUCAUCACUAUAUUUAUAUGUAUAAUUUUGGUUUGAGAUGAAGAUAUGAAAUGGAUUUCAUCCAAUUAGCCCUACAUAUACAGAAAUCGAUUUAGGUUUAGGGUUCACAUCAGAAAUCAAUUCAUAUUAAGAUUUGGUUUUGGAAAUUAAUUUUCAAAGGAUGCUUGUUAAGAAGGAAAUAUGGAGAUACAGGUGUGAGUUCGCUGAAGAAGAAGAUGGAGGAUGAAUGAAGAACUAAGAAGUAUGUCCCCUCCCACUUUGCUUUUCCGAGAGAGAGAGAGAGAGAGAGAGAGAGAGAGAGAGAGAGAAAGGGAGGGAGAGGUGGGGUUUGGGGAUAAUCAUUUUCGUUUCUUUAUAUUUCUAAAUUAAAAUAGUAUUUGAAAAAUUAAAAAAUAAUAUAAAAAAGAAAGUAAAAGGAUAUAACCAUCUUUUCAAGUUUUUUUGGAUCAAAACACAGAAAAACUUUGAUUUUAGACCUUUCAAAUGAAAAACCUUUUGGAUUCUAUCCAAAAAAUUUUGAAUAGCAUAGGACCAAUCUUUUAGUUUUGUUUUUACCACACUUACCCAUGGUCCAUCCCUAGGUUUUAAUUUAUAUAUUUUUAUUAUUUUUUAUAUAAAUAAAUGUAUUUAUCAUUAAAUUAAAAUAACUAAAGAAUAUGUAUAAUUUUAUAUUAUAAAAUAAAAUAAUAUAUGAAUUAUAAAUUUUUAAAUAGUAUUUUUUUUUUAUAAUUUCUAAACGCUAGCAAAUUUCUAACUUUUUUAUGUCGAUUCUCAUAACUUUUUAACAUAGAAUAUUUAUUAUCUAACUAUAAAAAUUACAUACUACUACACAAAUGAUUUUGAAAAGGCUCAAGUUGAAAAACCUCAAACAUUGAUCUUAUGUUUACAAAGAAGUUUNGAGAGAGAGAGAGAGAGAGAAAGGGAGGGAGAGGUGGGGUUUGGGGAUAAUCAUUUUCGUUUCUUUAUAUUUCUAAAUUAAAAUAGUAUUUGAAAAAUUAAAAAAUAAUAUAAAAAAGAAAGUAAAAGGAUAUAACCAUCUUUUCAAGUUUUUUUGGAUCAAAACACAGAAAAACUUUGAUUUUAGACCUUUCAAAUGAAAAACCUUUUGGAUUCUAUCCAAAAAAUUUUGAAUAGCAUAGGACCAAUCUUUUAGUUUUGUUUUUACCACACUUACCCAUGGUCCAUCCCUAGGUUUUAAUUUAUAUAUUUUUAUUAUUUUUUAUAUAAAUAAAUGUAUUUAUCAUUAAAUUAAAAUAACUAAAGAAUAUGUAUAAUUUUAUAUUAUAAAAUAAAAUAAUAUAUGAAUUAUAAAUUUUUAAAUAGUAUUUUUUUUUUAUAAUUUCUAAACGCUAGCAAAUUUCUAACUUUUUUAUGUCGAUUCUCAUAACUUUUUAACAUAGAAUAUUUAUUAUCUAACUAUAAAAAUUACAUACUACUACACAAAUGAUUUUGAAAAGGCUCAAGUUGAAAAACCUCAAACAUUGAUCUUAUGUUUACAAAGAAGUUUUUUUUUUUUUAAUUUGGAGACAUUCACAAAAAAUAAUGGUAAAUAAUAGCAGUGAAAAGGUAAAAAGAAAAUGAAAAAGAAACUUGUGAUCCAUCGGUUCAUAGGUUUUAAUUUAUAUAUUCUUAUGUUUUUAAAAAAAAUUAAUUUUUAAAAGGCCAUUGCAACCGGUGAAUGUUUUUCACCCGCUAAAAUUGUAUAAGAUUGUCCGGAAUGGAAACCAACCUCACGCGUGAGAGUCUACGUGGACAGUCAAGUCAUGCGUGAACACAUUUCCGGUGUCUGGUGGAUUGGUUGUUGAGUGGCCAUGGAGACCGAUGAAGACGACGCAUGUGAUUGGUUAAGCUAGUUUUUGAUCGUUUCUUCGCAUGUGAGUGACUAAACUUUAUGUUUUAAAUUAUUAUUUUUUUAAUUUAAUAUCAAAAUAAAUAAAUAAUGUGGAGUGCUAACCAUUUCCAAUGUUUAGUGGGUUGGUGGUAAAGUUGAUGUGGCGCUGAGCUGACAGCGCUUUUUCGAUGAAUUGGUUGUGACUACUUGUAACAUCUAUAAAUUUUACGCUAAAUUUAAAUUUUUCCAAUCACAAUUAAAACCCAAAUAGUGUUUGUUUACAAAUUGUUUUCAAAUCAUUAUUCAUCAGAGUGUCCCAAAAACAUAUCGUAAGGAUGAGGAGCGGUAUGGUCACGCCUUCGUCUUGCCACGAUCUCCUGAAGUACCUGAAACAAUAACUGGAAAACUGUAAACCCAAGGGCUUAGUAAGCUACCCCCAAAAUACCAAUACCACACUGAUAAUAUCAUAUUAGUAAUAAUCAAUCAAUCAAUAUGCAUACUGGGCCAUCGACCCGACUAGACCGCCCUACAGGGCCUACAGUCUAACUGAAUCUAUAUCGAGCCUUCGGCAUGACUGGACCGCCACGUGGGCCUACAGUCUCCCUGGACCGCUUAUAGGGUAUGUUGGUCUUCAGCACAAAGCAGGACCACCUCAACCCAACCAACAAACAAAUAAUCAUGUGCGUAUAACUAACAUAUACUGGCAUGUACAGACAUCAAACAUAUUUAUCUUACGGAUCAUCAAUCAUAGCGAUCUCUCAUAACUAGAGCACAGGCCCAACAGGCCACUAACAUACCAAUCCCUAAGGAUCAUAAAACAUAACAUACUGUCUAUCCUGAUUUCAAUCUAUCAGAUCAUAAUCGCAUACAUCAUAUCAUAACCAUAACAACUAAAGGUUCGGCCUUGGUGCCUUAGACCAUUUUGAUACAGUGAGGAUAACUCACCUCGCAGAUGUCGACUCGGUAGAUAAAUCCCAACUCUCGGAUCACUCGCCAAAGACUUCACCACCUAUUACCAUAGUACGAGCAUACUCAUAAAUCCUCAACCUCACAAGUACUCCAUAAACCAACCAAUCAACCCCAGGUCAAAGUCAAAGUCCUUAGUCAAGGUCAACAGUCCCUAUUGACCUUAACUCGCAGAGUACCGUCGGCUACUCGCCAAGUUCUUUGAAGUUCUUUCCCACUCGUCGAGUCACCGGGUGACUCGUCGAGUUCUUACGAUUUUCGAUCGAACCCUAAGGCCACCCUUCGAGUUUCCUUCUUGCAACACAUCGGCUACACACACAUUCAUAACUCGGGGAAAACUCAUCCGACUCGCCGAGUUGUCCAUACAACUCAUCGAGUCUAAGGCAAUCUUCAUCGGACUUGCCGAGUUGUUCAUCAACUCGUCGAGUUCAAUGGCCAUCUUCAUAUGACUCGCCGAGUCAAGCUUGCAACUCGUCGAGUUCCUUCAGUCCUUAAGCCAUACAGACUUAUUUAAGCCAUGUAAUGGCUCCAAAUUACAUAUCCAAGCUUCUAGGACAUGCUUUUCACGUAAAGUUGCAUGCAUGACUAAAAAGGCUCUUAAUGCCAAAUCUAAGCUCUUAAUGGGGUUUCAUGCACAAGGAGGGCCUCAACCACGACCAAAACAAAAAAUUUAUGAUUCUAGAACUUGAGAAGGGUCCAGAUCUGAAGUUACAACUUUAGAUCUAGCCCAUAGCUCACCAAUAUGACUCCUAAAAAUCCAUAAAACCCUAAAACUCAACCACAAAGAGAUUUAGAAGAAAAUGGGAGUAAAGAUUGCAACUUGAUACCUCCAAAAGAUGCUAGUUGAGGUAAGUUCUGUUUCCCACACCUUCCUUGCCUCAACUCCUUUGCUCUUCAAGCUCUUCCCUCCAAGCCAAUCUUCUUUCCAAGGUCUAAAACACACCACAAGGAGUAACCCAUGAAUUAGGGUUUCACUGAGCUCUCAAAGACUGUAAGGAGCCCAAAGGAGGCUGAGGCUUCCUAAAAUAUGGUGCAAAACCCCGAGAUUUAGGGUUUCCUCUUCCAGCUCUUACUCGUCGAGUCCCUCCCUGGACUCGGCGAUUAGGUCACUUAACACGCGAUCUCACCCCGCUACUACUCGACGAGUAGGGCAACCCACUCGUCGAGUAGGACUUAAAACCAAAGAACCUUUUAUUUAAAUCCAUACCUAAGAAUCGGGGCGUUACACUACUCCCUACAUCUUAAAUAAACAACUAUCAGUGUUUUGUUCUUUUAUGUAAAAGAAAAGUUGUGACUUUAAUAAAAGUGACAUCAAAAUAAAAAUAAAAUAUUUUAUAUCCAUAAAAGUCCUUAUAUAUCGAGAGUAUUAACGGAAAAGCUAUGAUUUAAGGAUUUUUAUGAAUGUUUUGCAAAUAAAAAAUAUUUUUUUUUAGACUAAACUGUAAAUUUAGUCUUUAUGGUUUGCAAAAAACUAUGGAUACGGUUCAAAAAGUUUCCAACAUGCACCACUGGUCCAAAAUCACAAACUUUUCGUGGUUUUGAUCCCUCUCAAACUUGAUUUUAUGUGUAUUUUGUCCAAACCCCACUUGAAAUUACUAAUAUACCUUUAAAAUAAUUUUUAUUUUCUAUUUUUAUUAAAUAUUAAAACAAAAUAAAAAUCCAUCACACCCCCGUCUCCAACCACACACAUAGGCAUCAUUAUCUCUCUAUUUCUCGACCGACAUUCCAUUAUGUUCAUCUUCUCUAAUUUCCGGCAAUGCACACACCUACGCAAUUAGAACCUCCGAGAUGAAGAAGAUGGAAACGAAGAAAGGUAAUUGCGAGAUCGACUUGGGAUAGAAGGAGCGUGAGGAAGAAUAAGAUAGUGAGUGGUAGGCUAAUCCCCAACAGCUCCAGGUUUUCCCUUAUUCUGUCUCUCUUUCUCCCUAAUCACACUGAUGUUUGUGUGAUUAGGAUGAAUCAAUUGAACAAGAUGUACAUCGGUUGUUUGUUCAUCGUUAUCAUCCAAACUAAGAGAUUUGAUUUUCGAUUUGUGAUUUUCGAUUGGUGGAUUUUUUAUUUUCGAUUUCCCUGAUAGAUUUUUGUUAAUAUAUGCUUGUUCAGGUUUUGAGUCAAGAAACAACAAAAUCAACUUCUUUGACUGAAUUUUCUCUUAAGUUGUUCGACAAAAUGCUUCUGUGAGAAGAUGAAACAUGUAUACAAAAAUUAAUUACAACUUAUUUCAUUAAAUCUACAUUUUGAGGUUCUGGUGGUGCUACAGCCAAAUUAUCAGUGGUGUUACAACCAAAUAUGGAUUUUCGGUGGGGCUUCAACCGAAUUUGGAUUUCUAAUGGUGUUACAACCAAAUCGGUGUCAAUGGUGGUGCCUCCGGUAAAUAUAUAUCUUUCUUCUGAUGAACGAUGAUUGUAACAUUCCGUUUGAAAUAAAGUAAUUAAAUAAUAAACCCGGAACACCAAGAUGUAAAUUUAUAUUUUAUAUUAUUUUAUAGUGGCCCUAAAAUCCAUAAUAUUUAGCUGGGUGCUGGUUUCAGGGAGCUAAAUGAUAUAAUUUGGACUUUCGGGGGUUAAAGUGUAAUUUUGGGAUUUAUUUUGUAAAAAAUUUCAGAAGUUAGGGGGUGUUUGGUAUCAUUUGGACUUAUAUUGAAUAGAUUCUGGAGGCUAAGGGGUUGAAUGGUAAUUUAUGGACCUUAUUUGAAAAGAAUGAGAGGAAAAGGGACUGAAAACGUUAGUAUGGCAAAAGUAUUCAUUUUGGACGGGGGUAUAUGUACCAUCACCUUAUCCAGCAAACCCUAACCCUAACAUGUUCUCUUCAGCCGCCACCUUGUGCAGCCUCCUCAGUCGUCGACGCUUAGUCGAGAUCGGCCGCCACAGCCUGUUGUCGGUGACGCCGUGAGCAAUCGAGGGAGGACUGUCAAGACCGUGGAUGGAAUGUGAGGGUCUUGAACGACCAGAGUGUUGUUGCCGCUGCACCGCUUCCAUGAAGAAGACGAAGCUACCGUCGUACGGUGCAACUACCGUUCCCAGCAACGUCGGUUGCUCCUGUUCCAUCAGCGAAGACCAAGCAGGCGCUCUCCUCUGUCGCUGCUGCUGCUGUCGUUCGCUUCAUCAUUUCUUCUCCAUCACUUCGGUGCUACACCAUAGCAACGAACCAUCGUCGCCGUAUGACUCGUUCUCAUCGCUUCGGUCAACAUCCGCCACCUCGAUGGAAGUUGUGGCGUGUAUUCCAGCUUCUGUGUCGCAAGUAUGUGUGUAUUCUGAUGUUGUUGUUCGUUAUGUGGGUGUAUCUCGUCCUGGAAAACCAAAAAAAAUCCAUUACCACCACCGUGAGGUGGUGGCUAUCACCCUCUACCACCACAUGCCGCCACAAGGGUGGUUGAGUGUGUGUGUCUUUUGGAUAUUAUGUUGUAUGUAUGUUGUUAAUUUGGCCAGAAAAAACCCAUCACCACCACCGUGAGGUGGUGGCUGCCACCUCACACUGCCAUUCUGCCACCACCUUUGGUGGCGGUGUGCUCUUGUGUAUGAUUGGAUUGCUUUUUUGGAUAUUUUUGUUGGAUAAGGUGCCUAAGUCCAUAACUAUAUUUGGUAUGUAUUUGACCCGACCCGACAUCCAUUUGGGUUGCAUGGCAUCAUGCAUUUCAAUAGACUUAAUGAGAAAAAUAACAUUUGUGGUUUAUUAAUAUAUUAUAAAUUCUAAUAUAUUAAUAGUAUUAUUUAAUUAGUAUUGAUCAAGAAUUAAUUAAGUGAUCAAAAGAUGACUAAUUAAAUAUAUGAGUUGAUUAUGUAAAUCAUCCAUAACUUGUAUAAUGGGCUAAAGGCUCCAUGAAUUAUCAAGUUGGGUUAAAACUCAUAUGAUGCUUCAUGGAUGCUCCAUGGGAGUUACAAACCCAUGAGUCAUGGAAAUGAAGAGUCAUGUCACAUUAGGGUUUACAUGGUGUAACCCUAGAUGUGACACUAUAUAAAAACAUGAUGCACACCAAAAUUGGUUACAACACACUAAGAACAAGAGAGGGCAAGCCGAUUUUUGCAAGUGUUAUACAUUCUCUCAAAGUCAUUCCAAAGUAUUUGGUGUUGUGUGAAACAUUUGAGGCAUCACACUUGGGGUGUUAGGCUCUCAAGGUUUUCAAGGAAUCAAAUCAACUACAUUUCCUAGUGUUACACAUUUCCUAGUGUUCGACACUCGUUUUUAUCAAUAUUACAAUGUUAUAUGAUUAUGUAUAUUUUCUCAGUUGUGUAAUAUUCAUCGGUUCUAAUGAAAUCUAUUAUAGAUUUAAAAUUGGAUUUUACACAUCAUGUUUUAGACUCAUUUGUACAUAUUAAGGAACUAUGUGGUUUUCUAUUCUAGGUUCCAUAGUGAUAGGAAUCAUUGUGUAUCACAAAAAAAAAAUGCUACUAAAUUAUUAUGUUAACUAAUUUGGUUGAAAUAAAAUGUAUUAGUGUGAUCUUUGGUAAUUACAAAAGGAGACAUGUAUGAUUAGUAAAUUGUUUCUAUCUACAUAUGCAAUUAUAAAAUAUUCAAAAAAAAAAAAAGCAUAAGCAGUUUCAAAAAAAAAAAAAAAAAACGAUGAUACUAUUCUUGUCUAUAUUCGUAAAUAGAUAUGAAUAAAUUAUUUUAGAUGAAUUCAUUUAUUAGAAAUAAUGGAAAUAGAUAAAUUGAAUAUGAUUAACAGGGAUGAGCAUGUAUGGAGGUCCAUAAAUGUUAGAAGUCCACACUUCGACCACAGGGGGAACUUAAUGGUACUCACAUCACAUGGCAUCUAUCAGUUUCAAUGCAUCUAAGUGUUGGGGUUGUCUUUCCUUUCUAAUUAAAAAAUAUUUUGACUUUUAAUAGUCAAAUUAGUUUAAUUUUAAUUUAAAACCCAAUAAAGUAUCUUAGUUAUAUGAAAUUAUAUUUAAUAUAGGAAUGAAUAUCUUAGAACUAGAAACUAACUCAAAAUUAAAUUUAUUUAGAAUCUUUAAACACUAGUAUUCUAUGCAAAAUGGAGGAGUAAAACAUUUAAAGUUGUUUAAUAGUUCUUGAUUUAGUCGGAUCUAAUUGAGUUAAUAUCUAAAAGAGUCAAACCCAAUUUCUUAUAAGACCUAGUAAAACCGAAUCAGACCUAACUAAUUGUAGUAUUAAACGUCUGAAUGUGAACGAAUCUGACUCAACCACUUAACAAACCUAAUAAAGGGCAUAUCAAAUAGUCCCUUUAACGAAUAUGAAUUAGAAAUGAAGGAGUCUCGUUUCCCUAUAAGUCCGAAAGUUAUGUGUCCAUAAUAAAUUUUUUAUCAAGAUUUAAGUAGACUAAAAAAUUGGUUGAUUCGUAACUCCAAAUUUGAGAUGUUAUAUCUUUGUCUCUCCGACUUCGAUGAUCAUAUGGAGAAAUAUAUCCGAGCAAACCAAAAAUGAAACAAGUUUGUAUGUAUAACAGAUUAUGAGAGAUAGUAUUUUUUUAAUUUAUACAAGACUUAUUAACGGGAUAAAAAAAUAACUCUAAGACCAAAAACCAAAGCCAAAAAUUAGAGUAAAAAAACUUUAUGUUGUCGAAGAAUUAAAAGUUCUCAUAGCUGUUAUGGGUUAUAUUGAAAAUAAAGACGUUAUAGCUUUUAAUAAACAUAUAUAAUAUCUUUUUGCUUCAUAAUUCCCUAAGUUUCCUAUUUUCUUGAACGUUAUGUUUAUGUUUCCUAUUUUCUUGAACGUUAUGUUUAGUUUUAAACUAAGAAUUACUUAUUUAUUAUAGUUGUUUAUCAGCUUCCAUAAAAUUUUAUUAGAUUAGGUAGUUACACAAUAUAUAAGUCAAAAGUUACUAAAAUAAGAGAAAUUAAAUAUCCUCCUACCAUUUGUUCCUACUAAAAUAAUUUAAUAGUAUAUGCCAAAAGGAUAAUAAAGAAUUUGGAUGAUUGCUUCCGAUGCCAGCUCAAUUAGUUUUCAAUUUAUUUAAUGUAGUUGAUCGUGUUAUGUUUUCAUAUACAGAUAUAUUAUUUUAUAAUGUUCUAUUUCAUUGGGCUAAACCAUCCGAAUGAUGUCAUACAUUUACCAAACAUAGUAGAUGUACCAUAAAUAUACUAAAAGUAGAUAAUUUCUUAAUUUAACCCUUAUCUUUUUGCCAAUUAGGACUGUAUUAUAUUGAAACAUUGACUUUUUAUAAGAAAUUUAUCACAUCAGAAGUUAAUAUUAAUUUUGAGUUAAAGAGUUAAGACUUAAGAGGGUCACAAAAUUUGUUUAUAUGUAUAGGUAAUUUGAAAAUGCAAGUAUUAGAUGAACGAUUAAAAAGAUGAGGAUUUAUGUGUUUUAAUUUUAGAAAAGACAAAUGCGAACAUAUUUCGCUUAGGACAUGCCAGAAAAUAGCCACAUUUUUUAUGUUUUAAAAUAGCAAUAAAUUUCUUAGUUUGGAUAACUGAGAAAUCGUGAUUUGUGAACCCCAUUAUAAAAUUAUUUUUGCAAAAGACGAUUUUGCUUUGAUUCGUUUUUGGUUUCAUAGUGUAGCAUUGCGAGAUGCUAAAUUCAUUAUUUGUUAUUUUAUGUUUUUGUUUUUUUGGUAUUUGAGAGGGGGCACUGCAAAAUGCCAUGUGAUUGAAGUCUGGCACACUGUAGGACAAGUGUUUUGCUAUGAUCGAUUCUAGAGAAACCGAUCGACCUAUUUUGUAUUGUGUAUAAAUACGCUAAGUUGUUCAUUUGCUUUGUAAUCUUUCUUAAUCUUUUGAAACCUUCAUACUAAAAACCUCUCCUAAUGAAAUCAUGAAUAUGCAACGUCAAUGUAAAAGCUUUUAUUUUAUUAUUAUGUACUUUUGAUUUUUUUUGUCGUAUUUUUUAUAAAUUAACUAAAUUAAUGAAAUCAUUAAUAAUAAAAACUAAAAUUAAAAGAGAAUAGUAUCUUUUCUCUAAAUGAAAAGAGAAAACCAGAAAAAAUAUACAAGAGUAACGUAACACUGAAAAAUGACACUUAAAUAGUAUGGAAAAAAAAUAAAAAAAAAAGGUGGGAAAUGAGAUGUUCCACCCCAUAGUUUUAGCGUAUAAAUCUAACACUAUGUUCUUUUCUUUUCUUUUUUUUAAAACAAAAAGAUAAAAGUGUAUAAAAAAAUCAAAAUUGGGUGCUUCCUGGCUGUCUCAAUGUCCCCAAAUCCUUAAAAGCCCUCGUACGCCACGUGUAAAAUAAAUCAUAAAUUCAAAUGUUAUAUAGAUAGCCCUUUUAGUUAUACCUUCUUUUUUCUUUAUAUCCUUUUCACUCUAUAAAAAGUAUUUCUAGUCCUUNNNNNNNNNNNNNNNNNNNNNNNNNNUAUAUAUAUAUAUAUAUAUAUAUCCAUUAAGAUUCAAAAUAAAAUAGAGAUCAUGAGAUUCAACAUCAGACACAUAAUUCACAUAUGUCGCUCUAACCUUCUGGUUUACCGACAUGCGGGUCAGUUAUAAUCAUAAAUGAUUAUGUAGCGUCGUCCGUUCAUUUCACCUCCGCCACCUUCCCCACAAGCACAACCGCCAUCGCCACCACCUCUACCACCAACCGACCCCACCAUUGCCACAUUCGUUACUUUGAUAGUUUCAUUUUGUUACUUCUUUUCCUAGUUUAUUUUAGUUCAUUCCAUUUCAUUUUAGUUAAUCAUCAUGCAUAUUUUCUCAUUAUGUUAUUUUUCAUCUUUAUCGGGUGCUUUCUAGUCUUUUGAGCUCAAUUGCAAGAUCUUUUCGAAGACUAUUCAACAUGGAGGAAUACGGGACCUUUGGAAGCUUGUGGUUUACUUGAGGGCUUAAAAUGAUGCAAUUGGGCUUAUUGUCAACAUGAUGAUGGAGCAAGUUAUGCUUAAUCUUUGUUGAAGAAUGAUGAUGAUGUGAAGAGAAUUAGAGUUAUAGACUAUCAAGGAGGCACUGGGCGAUCUUGGGAGAGUUUAGAAGACACAUUUGGGCUAUCAAGAAUCUUGCAUGUGGGUUGGACCAAGAAAUGGUGGAGCAAAUUAGAAGACUAAUCAAAUGGUCCAAAUAGCCAACUUAACAGCAUCGAAGCGGUCCACAUGGAUUUACAAACUGUCUGCGUGGAUCGUGUUGUGAAGGACCUAGAUUUUAGCCUUUUCCUAUUUUGGGAAUGUUGUUGGGAUACUUUUGAGCAAUUUUUUGAUCCAAGUUUGAACGUUUUUUGCUGGGUUUUUGAAGAAAGAAGAGGGGGGAAUUCUUGAAAAAAAAAACACUCAUUUUGCUCUCUAAGAAUACUUGAAGAUUUGUGGAUUUCUUUCAUCUUGAACAAUCUUUGGUAUCUUUAAUCUACCUUGUUUUUCUUUAAUCUUAGUCAUGCUUGGCUAGAUUUAUCUUUGGUUGAUGUUGGUUUAACCCAUGGAUGAUUAGUUACUUUGAAGACUUCUUAUGAACUUGUGUUUGAAAUUUAUGGGAAUGUUUUCUAGUUAAACAUAUGCUUGUGUUUAUUUUUCCUUGAUCACGUGCUUGGAUGAAUGAAUGUUUAUUUUGUUGGCUAAUUUCUUGGUUAAAUAAUGGACCCUUAAAUUAGUAAGCAACAAAUGGUUUAUAUGUUUGUUUUAAUUUCAUUUAAACCAUGGGAAUAUGUCCUCCAUAAUGAUAAUGUAAGCAUUUAACUAUCUUUUGGGCUUGGUGACUCUUAAAGCUUAAUGCUAGUUGUUUUUCACAAAAUUACAUGCUUCAUUGGUUUUGUGACUUUGAUUAAGGAAAUGUGUUUGGAGCUCCUCUACCAUUUUAAUAGCAAAUAAGAGUUUAUGUAAUUUGUGCUUAUGAAUUGCUAUAGUCAAGUUAAAGUAAACCACAAUUGUUGUUCCAUUUUGUGUAUUGAUAAGUUAACUAAGAAAUCCAUGUGUUGUAAUCCAAAAUCAACCAACUUCCCUUCGUUGAUUUUAAAUCAAAUCAUUUACUUGUUUAUUUGUAAUUUAUACAUUCAAGCAUAGUUUUAGUUUUUUCAAAACAAUAAAAAAGAUUUAAACCCCCUAUUUUACUUUUAUUUCUUUGUUUCAUAAGUACUUGAACAAGUGAUUUUCGUAGAGAUAUAAAUUGAGCAAAUUUUCGUGGAUAUAAUCUCUUUACCACUAUAUACUAUUUCAGUGUGUAAUAUUUAGGGUAUUUAACCANNNNNNNNNNNNNNNNNNNNNNNNNNNNNNNNNNNNNNNNNNNNNNNNNNNNNNNNNNNNNNNNNNNNNNNNNNNNNNNNNNNNNNNNNNNNNNNNNNNNNNNNNNNNNNNNNNNNNNNNNNNNNNNNNNNNNNNNNNNNNNNNNNNNNNNNNNNNNNNNNNNNNNNNNNNNNNNNNNNNNNNNNNNNNNNNNNNNNNNNNNNNNNNNNNNNNNNNNNNNNNNNNNNNNNNNNNNNNNNNNNNNNNNNNNNNAUAUAUAUAUCUUCUCUAAUAAAUGAAGGUUAUUUUUGUCACUUGUCAAUCUCUCAUGAGUUUUGACACUUGUCAUUUUGUGGUAUUUUUGAAAUAAAUAUUAUUCACUUGUCAAUUUCUGAUUUGUUUCAAUUUUUAAAAUUAAAGUCAUAUAUUUAUAUAUGUAAAGUAUUAAAUAUAAUAUAUAUGAAAUUAAAUUUCAAUGAAUACGUUUCUUCCUUUCUUAUUUUAAAGUUUUACAUUAAAAAAUAUUUACUAUUUACAUUUUAAUGUUUAAUCAUUUCUUUUAAAUUAACCCGUAUAAUAUACGAGUUUCACAUCUACUAUAUAUAUAUAUAUAUGUGUGUGUGUGUGUGUGUGUGUGUAUGUGUGUGUAUUGGAGACAUAUCAUAUUUUAUAAGAUUAUAAGACAAUUUUUUUUAGUGAAAUAUUAUAAUAUUCUAGUUUUUAUAAAAAUAUAGUAUGUGUAAUGUUCUAAUCUUUAAAUUUUUAGAAUAUUACAAUGUAAACGUUAACAAUAUUAUUUUAGAAUAUUAGAAUAUUACACAUAUUACAUUUGUAUUAAUACCAAAAUAUUAAAAUAUUUUAAUAGAAACAAAUAAUUUCAUGGUAUCACAAAUAAAACUCGUCUCACAUUAACCUUUACAUAUAUUAAAAUAUUUAAGUAAAGAAAAAAUAUUUGUUUCAUAUUCAUGUCAAGUGUUAAAAACUUAAAGUCGUGUCAUGUCAUGGUCAUGCCAAGAUUUGAUAAGAAGUUGACAUGAUAAUUAAAUGUGUUUAUCAUGUUUAUGUGUUUGUCUUGUUUGUAAGAUUAAUUUUGAAUUAAAUAAACAAAGUGUUUUUUUUUCUUUUACAUGUUUUGUGUUUUUUGCAUUGGUUGUUUUUAUCGUGUUUUAACUUAAUUGUUUUUGUGUUAGUGUAAAUAAAACAUGAUAUUAUAUAAUGUAUGUGUUAUAUAAAAAUUGUUUUGUCUUGUCAUGUCAACUAAAAACACGACAUGGGUAUCUGAUUUGACACCCUACAUAUUUUCUGAAAUUACAAAAUCAUAUUUUAUUAGUUCUAAACAAAAUACACGAUAAACAUAAAACUAAAAUACUCAUCACUAGGGAUGUUCACUAUUUGGAUAAAACUGAAUUGUCCACUUGAACAAUAUGAAUUAGACUAUUUGGUUUGGAUAUUCAGAUUUUUGGAUUGGUUUUCAACAAAAACCGAAUUAUUAUUUUGAAUUUCAGAUUGGUUUUGGUUUAUAAAAUAAGAAAAUAAUAGUCCAAAAAACCGAAUAACAAUUUAUUAUUUAUUUAUUUUUAAUAUAUAUCUAUAAUUAUUUAUUAAUUUAUUUUUUCAAAUAGAUUCAAAAAAUUUCACUUAAUAAAAAGUUUAGUAUGUAUUNNNNNNNNNNNNNNNNNNNNNNNNNNNNNNNNNNNNNNNNNNNNNNNNNNNNNNNNNNNNNNNNNNNNNNNNUAUAUAUAUAUAUAUUAGUAGUUGUUUAUAAAUUUUAAACCACAACUAAAUAAUUUGUUUUUGUUUCUUUUAUAAAGUUGACUAGUAUCUGUGACAUCCCCAUUUUCACGGCCAAAAAAGACCGAUGUUGUUUAUGCUUUAUAAAAAUCAGAGUACUUCAUUUUAUAAAAAUGUUGCGGAAUUUGUUCCCAGAAAAACAUGGUAAAUACGUUAUUAAAACAUUUUCGAAGAAACGUAUUUAUUUCAAAAUUAAUCAGAGUACUUCAUUUUACAAUUAUUUACACUAGUGAUCUACAUCUCUUUAAAUCUCUCAGUGUAAUGUCACUUCAUAUCAACACCUGUGAUAUAAAUAAACUGAGUGGGUCAGGUUGAGAAACCUGGUGAGUACAUAGGGUUUUCAACCCACAAUAAUAUAAUUAUUAUGUUUAAACAAUCAAACAAUCAAACAAUCAACCCAAUUACCCAUCCUCAUUAUCUUCUUUAUUCUUAAGGAUCUACCCUAAGAAUCAGCUAUUUCUCAUUCAUUCAUUCCUAAGGAUCAUCCUAAGGAAACAACAUGAAGUCCAUUGUUGCCAAUGACACAUUGGUCAAGCGCAGCUGCUAAUAUUGUCACUUAGGCUCAGCUGCCAGAAUUAGGACAUUUUCUAUGAGGCGCUUCUGCCGGUAUUGACCUUUAAACACUACUGUCAAACAAAUCAUGCUAGAUUCUAAUAAUAAUUUUGCUACUGAUGUUUUUUUAUAAUAAUCUAAUUACCAAUCUUCCAUCUACACAUCAACACUAUCUCAUUAAACCAAACAUAAUUUGUCACAGGUUCCUGUCUAUUUUUCAGCCCCUUCAAAUCACAACAAUGAGACUCAAAAAUAAAGAUGAACAAUCAUUAUAGAUACAAACAAGAGAGACCUUUAGAACAUUUUUUACCCCAAAUAAAAUUCUCUGAAUUAUAAGAAGUAUUCCAUUUUUUGGCAACAAAAUUAAGUCUCAUAAUAAGUGAAGAGAUGUCAUUCCCGUUUCAAAUCCAAAGAGCAUCUGAAGGUUUUACUAAGGUAAAUAAUUAGGGCAAAUUAUGGGGAACAACAACAUACUUUAUUACUUUACCUAUUUUGCAUCUAUAUGAAACUUUAAUACUUAAAACAAUCCCUGAUACUAAUUGUAUUUUUAGGGUGUGGAGAAAGAGCAAAACCAUGAGAUUUCUCAAAAACUUUCAUCUAGAUACAAACACAUUGAUAAACAAAACAGUACAAGCGACAAGUUAUGAUUGUUGAUCAAGUAUUUAAUUCUUUUAAGAUGAUUCGAUGAUUGUAACUUUAAGGUGUGGUGUGGCUUUAAACGUCACAUAGAUACAAACAAAAGAGACAGAGAGAUAUCUUUAGAACAAGAAGCAUAAGAAGCAUAGAAGGAAAUGAAGAGGCGACAAAUGGUAAGUUGGAGAACCGAAUGAAUGAUGAAGCAUCAAAAGACCGAGCAAGGGAUUGAGAGUCGGAGUACAUCAAAGAGCAGGGGGGUUGCAGUCCAUCUCUUUUCUUUUAGGGUCUAACGUGUAUUAAAACUAUUGGGAUAGGACCAGUUAUAGGCAAAAAAAAAAAAAAAAGAAACAAGGGGGCCACAACCCCUCCUGCCCCUAAGCAUCCUCUGCCCGUGAUCCAAACGAACACCCCUACUCAUCAUCGACUCAUCGUCUAGAAAUAAUAAGAAAAAGGGUUCGUUGACAUUUUUCCAAAAUAUUGUUUUUAUAAGUUUAAUGUACUCUAACUUUCGGCAUAUAUUUUAACACAUUAAGUUGGCAUGUAGUUAGAAUUUUAGAGAAUAAAAAGUAAAAUUUGAAACUUUUGAUAAAAUUUAAAGGGUGUGAAUUGAAAAUAUAAAUAUAUUAAGAAUAUUAACAUUUUAUUCAUAACUGAUGGUGGUAUCAGAGUCCGUGGAUUUAAGUUUUCUUUCUUGCAUUUAAAAUUACCCUAUAUAUAAUGUCUCCCCCUUUCAAAAUUACGUACCAUCGCUCUCUGAUUGAUUUUCUGUGUAUAAUUGAGGAGAGAGAUCCUUUGAUUUCACUCUAAAUUUUGGAUCUAGGGCCUUCAAUUAAGGUACUCCCCCUCAUAUUAUUAUUAUUAUUAUUAUUAUUAUUAUUAUUAUUAUUAUUAUUGUUCAGAGAUGAAUUUGCUAUCAAGAUUUUCGUAUAAUCGUGUCUGAAUUCAUCUAUACGUUGCUGUUUCUUAAGAUUUAGGUUCAGUUCUACGCAAUUUUGUCUUGAUUUCUCUCUAAGCUUCUGUUUAAUCAUUCAUUACUUUGUAUACACUAAUUGUUUGACAUUUUUUGCUUUUGUUUUGUGCAUUACAGCUAGCAAUUUAAGUUCAAUUUUAUUGACUUCUAAGUUCAUACCUGCUUAAAAACUUCUACACUUUUCGAAUAUUCUAUACGUGUUUUGGUUUGAUUUCUUUGUUUUGGCAUUUUAAAGUUUUCAACUCACCGUGUUGAACAAUGUCACCUCUACUUGGUUACUUUUGCUUCAUCUACAAACAAUUAUGGCAUUUGCUUUGUGAUUAAAUUUAGCUCACAUCCUUAGGUUUUAGUUUAUAUAAAUGAAGUACAAUCGAUGAGAUGCAAUAAUCUAAUCAGCUCGAUCUAUUUUGUUUUCAGGAUUUCAUCAUCGAACAGAGAUUUGAAUUACAAAUCAACAUAAAUUUUGUUUAUGUUUACUUGGAAAUUAAAGUUGUAAUGGAACAUCGUCCUCCUAUUGACGAAGAUUUUAUCGUUGAUCUCGAGAGUGGCACCAUUGAAGAACGAAUCCCUAAUCCCCAAUCUGAUGAAAAUCUAGCAAGAAACGAUUUCAUUUCCACCAGAUUAUGUGACCAAUUGAAUGUCGAUCCAUUAAAUGUGAAUGUGGUAAUCGACUCAAAGAUAGAAGGAGAUUCGACAAUGAAGAAAAUGGGGAAAGAGAAACGUAAAAAGUCGUGUUCAAGUGCUAAAAAACCACCUAAACCACCACGUCCACCUAGAGGCUUUUCUUUAGAUGCUGCUGAUCAGAAGCUUAUCAAAGAGCUUGCUGAACUUGCCAUGAUGAAAAGGGCAAGAAUCGAGAGGAUGAAAGCACUCAAGCACAAGAAAGCAUUAAAAGCUUCAUCUUCAUCAUCAAUCAGUGGUAGCUUGUUUGCCAUGAUCUUUACAAUCAUCUUCUUCCUAAUGAUAUUCCACCAAGGUAAUAAAUUACACCUUAAUGGUUAUCAUUAUCCCUCUUUCUAUCUUCAUACUUUCACCAUUAUUCAAAAAUAAAAAAUAAACACCAGGAAUAUCUUAUUGUUUUUAUAUUUGUCCAUUAAGAAAAAACCUUACAUUAUGUUUUUUCAGGAAUGUCAUGCCAAAAUUCGAGUGUAACUUCUCAGGGUUCUCCUCAAACAGCUCAAACAAACGAAAAUGGUUUAGUAUUUACACAAGAACAACUCAAUCCAUCCGCUAGUGAUUCCAUUCUACCCGAUUCUAAAUCUUCAAGGUAUGCAAACCAUUUUAUAUUUUCUUUAUGAUAUAAAUACAUGCUUGUUAUUGGAAGGAAAUUAAUUUUUUUUUUUCUUUGUAUUUUGCAGUUUUUUUCAAAAGAUUCCCGGUUCAGGUUUUGUUAGCAGGAAAGUACUUUCGUCUAGUGUUAUGCAAGACAAGAGAAAACAAAACAGUAGCUAAAUAAAAAAAAUAAAAAAAAAACAAAAAGGUAGACUCCAUGUGGCAAUGCCUGUGACAACAAUGUUGUACCAUGUGUAUAGUAACGCGUUAUUUGUUAUGCGAUAUAUGACAUGAAAGAACAGAACAGCUGGACUGAGAAUCAGUAAGCAAAAUUAUGAUUUUUGUGGCACCCAAAAAGGUGUAACAUGGACUCGUUGCGGUCUGUGUUUUGUGCAAAAAGACGUUAAUGUCCUCCUCAUCGUCAAAAAAUUGCGAAAGUUUCAGUUUCCUCCGGUCCAGUACUACAAUUUAGUCUGGUUCUGUUAAGUAUUGUUUGUGUAACAAAAUUUAGUUUAAAGGAUAGUUUUUGUACUUAUUCUAAUUGUGCUAAUAGAACAGGGUUUUUUUUUUUUUUUUUUUUUUUUUUUUUUUUUUUUUUUUUUUUUUUUUUNUUUUUUUUUAAUUAUGUAGAGAUGAGAAAUCGGCAAUUUAGCUGGAGUUGAGUUAGGUCUUUUUGUUUUGUAAUUAACAAGUUAAAUAAUAUGUAUUGUAGUCAACAAAAAUCGAGAUCUGAUAUCUAUGUAAAUCAGUUGAGUUCAAAUUUUUAAUAUCCCACUUAUAAGAUUCAGAUUUGCUUCUUAAUUAUUUGCUUAGUGAUGCAUCAAAACAUGUGUGAGUUUAUGAGUGAUUGUGAGAGAGAGAGAUAGGUUUGUUUUUCUUAAAAAGACAAUUAUACCCUUCUUUUUCUAUUCUUUUUGAAAGAGCAACACUGUGGCUCCAAGGGUGUUUUGGGGAAUUAUUAUUAGACAAAUAGUUAUAUGAUGCUAUUUGUUUUUUUUAAAAAGACAAUUAUACCCUUCUUUUCUUGUUCUUUUUGAAAGAGCAACAAACACCGGCUCGAAGGGUGUUUUGGGGAAUUAUUAUUAGACAAAUAGUUACAUGAUGCUAUUUGUUUUUCUUAAAAAGAUAAUUAUACCCUUCUUUAUUUGUUCUUUUUGAAAGGGCAACAAACACCGGCUCAAAGGGUGUAAAUAGUUAUAUGAUGCUAUAUUCAUAACUAUGAAGAAGUCUAUUUCAUGUAAAAUGACAACUACACCCUUUGUCUCUUUUCCCUUUUAGGAAAAAUAUUUUGUCUAACUUUACUUAUUUUUUUAUUAUCAUCAUUAUAAAUAAUUGAUGUUGCCAAUAUUAUUUUCAGCAAAAGGGAUUUUUUUUGCAUCCGGACAAAUUGGUACAAGGAAGUAUGUGAUUCUUAAGACAUGCAUGUGCAUAUGGAUGAGCAUUCAUAGAUAAUCGAGGAUUUUGGUAUGAUAUUUUGCAUAAAUUGGGUAUGGACUUAUUUUGGAUAGACUUUGAAAUAAUUGAGAAGUGAUGCAAAAUUACAUUUAUACCCUUCAUCCUCAACGGUCGACUAACAGACUCAUUCAUGUCGCCCAUACGUAUCUGAUUAAAGAUAUUGCAUUCAUUAGGUACUAAUUUCACAAGUAUGGUUUCUUUUGGUAAAAAUAAUUAAGUCAGUUUGUUACCUAAGACAUGGCAUGAUAUAAGGAUAAAAAUAAAUAAAUAAAUAAAUAAAAGCUUGUUCUGGGUUGUAUUGUAUUGGACUUGAACUAAAACUAGUUUAAUCGGACAAAAAUGUUAUUUUUUGUCCCAUCCAAAAAAGAUAGAACAAGGACACUGACUUGCUAUCGACCUCUCGUUUAUGUAAAAAGCAUUCAUGUGCUUCUUAUCAUCAUCAUCAAAAAUAACUCGUGUAAGUAUAUAGAGUCAUCUUCAGCUCAGUCUCAUCGGUAUAACACGAGCAAGAAGACUUAACAUUAUUAUUUUCAAAAUAAUUAAUAUACAAAGAUAGCAAAUAAAUAUUUGAUAAACUAAAUAUUGUGGUAUAAUUGACCCUCAUGGACCUUCCGAGACCUAGGCAUGGCAUGGGAUACCCCACCCCCCACACCCCCUCCGAAACAACCUGGGUGACCAGAGACCAUAUGGUGAUGUUGGGUUAUAAUUCAUUCAUAUUUGGAAUUGGAUCAAAUACAUGUGAAUCAGAUCCAUAAACUAAGCAAUAAUACCAUUUUCACUUGCUUUUCCAUUUGACCUUCUCGACCUUUCUCUUUCAUGUGCCUUCUAAUAAUAUAUAUAGGGAUAGCCUACAAGUCAAAGACUUCGUUGCAAAUAAUUCUUUUAAUUAUUAUACUUAUAGUUUCUUUAUAUGUAGAUCAUCAUAUUUCUUAAAAAUACAAAAAGAGAAGAAACAACAAAACGUAUCUUGUUGUGAUGGAUUCUUUUCUAACAAUUUUCAAUGUUAUACGAUAACUAUAUAGUGACUUGAAUUGGUGUAUUUUAGUAUUUUCUAUUAAUCGUAUGUUUAAUAAGUUCGGUGAUUAGUUUCUAAUCAAUUCCACAGUGAUAAUCUUGGUACUUCGAGAAAAAAGAAAUCCAUAUUCUUGAGUGUUUUAUAAUCAAAUUUUGUUGAUUUUUGAGUACUCUAUAAGAGCGAAUGCCUUCCGAAAUAAUAUCCUCGAGUCCUUUUUUUUUGUCUACUUGAAUCAAAAUUUGAGUGUUUUAUAAUCAAAUUUAGUUGAUUUUUGCCUACUCCAUAAGAGCGAAUGCAUUCCGAAAUAAUAUCCUUGAUUGCUUUUUUUUUUUCUACUAGAAACAAAAUUUGUGUACAAAGAGAAUUGUAAUACGAUACUCAACUACAAGAUAUAGACAAUGAUCUUUAUUUCAAGAUUGUAUCCAUAUUACAUCAUGUAUCUUGUUGGCAUUGAUUGUGAAUACAUUGGUUUUGUUAAUCACUUCUUCUCAAUGUUUUAAAAACCGGUUUUUUAGUUGAACCGGUAUAGUGACCGGUUUCCGGUUCAACCGGUUCGACCGGCGGGUUAACCGGUUUCUAUAAUUUUCAUAUUUUUUUUUCUAUUUUUCUAUACAUAAAUAUAUAAAUCAUGAGUUUGACGUUUACAUGUUCAAACAUUAAAAAUCCUUAUUCUAAUAAAAGAAUAGUUUUAUUCUUCUUUUGACAUGUGUCACCAUAUUAGGCUCAUAAUUAAUGCAUAUUUCAAAUUUCAAAUUUCAAAUUUUCCACUCUAAUUAUAUUAAAUUAAUAACAUUAGAAUGAAAAUUAAAUAAAAUUAACACAAAUUAUAAAGUGAUAUAAUUAUACAUAUUUAUUUAAAGCAAUGAUUAUAAUUUUAUAUAACUAAAAAAUCUCUUAAUGAAUAAUUUAUUUAAAAUAAGUGAUUAAUAAUUUUGAGUUUUUAAUAUUAAAGUUUAAUUAAGUUUGUAACCGUAGUUCCCACGGGUUAUAAACUCGUAUACAUAUAAAUAAGUUGUAGAUCACUCUAAAUACAUUAAAAACUUUAUAACAUUUAUCAUAUGUUUUUAUUUAGAGAAAACUAUAUAGAUUUGAAAAAAUUCACUAAAGUUUAUUAUGAAAAUUGUUCUUUUCCAUGUGUUUUUAUUUGGUUUAAGCGGUUCAACUGCUAUAUAUUUUGACCGGUUCAACCGGGUUUUUCUAAAAACCGACCGGUUCAAUCCGGUUUAGAAAUCCACAUAAAACCGAUGAUAGUUGAACCGCUCCCUUCUCCGAUUCACGGUCCAACCAGUUUUUAAAACAUUGCUUCUUCUAUUGUGUAGAUUCCCUUCUUCAUCUUCAGAGGUUCAAUCAUAUACAAUAUUCCGAACCAGGAUUCUAGUUGGGUCAUUCGGAAUGACCCUUUGUGGUUGGGCUAUCCCGGACCGAGCAGGAACUAUUCUCCAAGGAGGGUACUUGUAUGAUUGGUCAUGUACCCUAUUGUGAGUCUAACUAAUUAUUGAGUACACACAUUGAUCCCAUUAUAAAAAGUUUGCAUCACUUGAUGAGCGUGUGCGGACAAUUUUUGAGCAUCUCUUUGUAUCGAACACAAGUUUUGUAAAGUGUUUUGUCAUCUGGUAGUUGCAUGUUCUGGAUCUUCAUCUUCGCUAUUUUUAAUUAAUAGUGGACUAAAUUGUUGAAUAAAUUUAGAUUUUAAAUCAUCCCGUAUGGUAAUUGAUGUGGACGGAAAGAUUUAACCCUUUGAUUUGUAGUGUCUUUAAGUGUGAUCAGAAACACUUGUAUCAUUACCACAGAGUAUUUUGUCACUAGAAGUAGUUGGUAGUUUCGAUCACUUCGUCCACAUGCUUGUGCACGUUUUCAUGGUCUUUACCGGAAAAAUAUGUUUCUUUUAAUAAUUGGAGGAAUUGACCCUUGAGCCCAAAAUUUGUAGUCAACGAUAGUGCUGGGCGAACUAGUCCUCGUCCAAUCCCAUCUCUCGUACGGCUUGUGUAUUAGUAUUAUAACAAUGGAUUUGCAGUAUCCGUCUUCGCUUUCUUCUUGGCUGCUAUCUUCAUUUUGUUGUCUUUGUUGUUUUGUGAAAUUCUUGCUCGAGCUUGUUGAAUAGAGAUAUUACUUUAGAAGUGAAUCAUCGGGACAUAAACUAUCUGCAAAACAAACAUAAACCAUAAUAAAAAUAAAUAAAUAAAUAAAGCAUGCAGCUUGUUUUCGCCCAAAAAAACAUGUCGCGUAACAGAGUCGAACACAAUGCGUUUGCCUACAAAACAAAAAAUUAACUUUUCACCAGAAAACCCACAAAAAAUCGAAUAACGAAUGAUUAAAUAAUUUAAAGAAAUUAAGUUGUUUCUCGCCAACGCUAAAAACUUGAUGUGUGGAUUCAUCAACAACUUUUAAAGUUAUUAAUUGGUUUAUCACAACCAGGCUGUUACAUUAGGUAGUGUACAUAAUCAUGUAAUAAUAAUAUAGCUAAUAUAUAUUAGGUAUCGAACACUCAUGUAUGAUUUGUGUUUAGAAAAUCAAAACUAUUAAUUAAAUUACCAAACAAAGAAUAUAAGGGAGAUUGUUUAAAUCCAGUUAAACAUGGUUGAAACUAAAAAAAUGAUAACUAAAGUUGGAUUAAAUAAUAAUAAUAAUAAAAAGAAGAAAUUAAAACUGAAAAAUUAACUUUGAUAUUAUUCUGAUUUUAGUCAAUAGCCGAAUCGUUUAAAAAAAAUUUACUUUAUGGAAAAUAAUAUUUUUCUUAUAAAUUGAUGUUUAAGUUUUAAAUACAUAUGUUUCCUAUAAAAUUUUAAUAGAAUAAUUGAUUUUUUUUUUCGAAAAAAUAAAAUGAAAUAACGAAUUUUCAAAUAAAUAAUUAAAGUUAUAAUAGUUUUUGAAAAUGUUCCGAUAAAUAAAUAUGAAAAUUUGUUCUAGGACUUUGUAAAAUUCAAAGUUUAUACUUUGUGUAAAAAGGAAUGUUAAUUUUUACAAGGCAAAUAUGGGCUCUUACUAUAAACGGCCCAAAAGUGAUGUUACUGAAUAUUGCUUUAUCACUUAUCAGGUUAAGGAUGUAAAUUGACAACACUACCCCUUUGUUGGUACCUCAAGGCAAGAGAUGAUUCCGAUGAAAACCCUAGGCUAUAUCACGCGCGAAACACGUGAGCCCGUAAUACAGAGGCGCCGCAAGGUUAACGGUUCAUAUUAGCCGUUGGAUGAAGUUCCACGUCAUUAAUCCGCGUCAAGCAAACAUUCAACGGUCCAGAUUACGCGUUGCGUGUAGCUACUCUGAAGAACGAAGAACCCCCUCUAGUCUCCCUCUCUCUCUCUCAUCACCGUCUAUCUCCCCCAAUUCUGACAAAAAUUUUGCUGUGAAUUUUCGGCAAAGAUGAAGAUGUUGAUCGAAGAAGAGUUGGAGUUCGAAGGUGAGAACAAGGUUGAAGAAAUCGUUGUGGAUGAUACCGAAGAAAUUGAUAGUGAAGUUGAAGUUGAAGAAGACGACGGCGAGGACGACGACGAAGAUGAUGAUGACGCCGACGAAGAGGAGGAGGAAGAAGACGACGACGAUGAUGUGCAGGAGGUUUUCCAAAGCUCUGGCAGUGGUCCACCGGCUCAGCCGGUAGAAGCCGACGAUGACGACGAGGACGAGGACGAAGAGGAUGAAGACGAUGAUGGAGACGACGACGGAGAAGAUAGCGACGACGACGAUGACGAUGAGGAAGGUGAACAAGAGGAGGUAAUAUUUAUCUUCACUUUGACUAUUUUGUUUGAAUUAGUUAGCUUAUUACUUUGAGUAAAUCAUAUCUUAGUUGAUAAUUCUGUGAAAAUUUUAGCUCAGAUCUGAUGAUUAUUUGCCUGUAUCUGCAAUCUAGCGUAUAGACAAAUUACCUUUUUUAAUUUUUAUAAUUCGAGUUUAAUUAUUAUUUCUGUCAGUUGUUACUACGAGUCAAAAACCUCACUUUAUCUCUAUGUUUCUUGUGGUUUUUAUCAAUUUAUCUUCCAAAAAUUACACAGAUCCAUGUUUUUUUUUUGCCAGUGAUAGAUCUGUUCUUAUUGAUAUUAUUUUACUGACGCUCUUUAAAUAUUAUCUAAAUUUGCUUUCAUGCUUCAUUUCAAGCAAUCUUGUUUUAAAUUUGCUUUGUUUUCUGUAAUAAAAUUUCAGAUCUGAUUAUUUUCUGUCAAAACCGUUUGUGAUUUUGACUGUUUCAGUUUUUUUACUCUGACUGUAUACGUCAUGAUUGAUCUGUAAUGAUUCCGUUCAUGUAGCAAACAAUAUAAUUCCCAAUAUGUGUUUCUGUUUUGGCGUUCUGUUUCUUACAGGUUUUUGGCAUGAAACUUAUCAAAUUGUACAUGUCCACUUUUAUGUUAUCGAUAAUUAGAUAUUUGUGUAAAUUUUACAUUUUUACCAAUUUAAGAGUAGUUUAUUCAACUAACUCAAAUUAUUCAAUCUGGUUUACAGGAGGAUAUGGGGACCGAAUACUUGGUUCGACCCGUGGCUAACCCGGAAGAUGAAGAAGAUGCAAGUGAUUUUGAACCCGAAGAAAAUGGAGCGGAAGAAGAUGAAUUUGAAGAAGAAGAAGAAGAUGAUGAUGAACAAGUUGGAAAAACGGAAGCCCCACCGAAGCGAAAAAGGUCAACCAAAGAUGAUGAUGAAUCUGAUGAUGAUGAUGAUGGUGAUGACGAUGAUGAUGAUGAUAGACCAUCCAAGAGAUAGUUUGGUUUCUUGGGAUCUAUGAUGAUGAUGAUGAUGAUCAUGGAUACAUAGGUCCAUCUCUUUCUCUCUCUAUCUCUCUAGGGUUUAUGUUAAAAACUUUAUAUUAUGGUUGGUGGAUCAUCUUGUUUACUACCAUAUAUUUUCAUGUAACUUUUCAUGGUGCAGUUAUAUCUAUCAGGGUUUGCAUAGUGUCACAAUGGGGUUAUUUUUAGGAACAAAAAAACAAAAGAAAAGUUUGCUACUUUUUUUUAUGUUUAAUUUUAUGUAACUUUUAGAUGAUUUAGGACACUCUUAUGUUUUCCUUGAUGUGUAUCGUUGGAUAAUGUUUAGUGUUUUUCUCACAUUUUAGCAAUGACUUUCUUUGUUCAUCAUAUUUGUAUUAUUAUUCUCGAUCUAAUUUUGUUGC